rnacentral:rRNA from 1 species
UGGUAGUNCACGCCGUAAACGAUGAGUGCUAGGUGUUAGGCCCUUUCCGGGGCUUAGUGCCGCAGCUAACGCAUUAAGCACUCCGCCUGGGGAGUACGACCGCAAGGUUGAAACUCAAAGGAAUUGACGGGGGCCCGCACAAGCGGUGGAGCAUGUGGUUUAAUUCGAAGCAACGCGAAGAACCUUACCAGGUCUUGACAUCCCGAUGCCCGCUCUAGAGAUAGAGUUUUACUUCGGUACAUCGGUGACAGGUGGUGCAUGGUUGUCGUCAGCUCGUGUCGUGAGAUGUUGGGUUAAGUCCCGCAACGAGCGCAACCCUUAUUGUUAGUUGCCAUCAUUCAGUUGGGCACUCUAGCGAGACUGCCGGUAAUAAACCGGAGGAAGGUGGGGAUGACGUCAAAUCAUCAUGCCCCUUAUGACCUGGGCUACACACGUGCUACAAUGGCUGGUACAACGAGUCGCAAGUCGGUGACGGCAAGCUAAUCUCUUAAAGCCAGUCUCAGUUCGGAUUGUAGGCUGCAACUCGCCUACAUGAAGUCGGAAUCGCUAGUAAUCGCGGAUCAGCACGCCGCGGUGAUACGUUCCCGGGCCUCGUACACACCGCCCGUCACACCACGAGAGUUUGUAACACCCGAAGUCGGUGAGGUANCCUUUUAGGAGCCA